UACAGAGGGUGCAAGCGUUAAUCGGAAUUACUGGGCGUAAAGCGUGCGUAGACGGUUAUGUAAGUCGGGUGUGAAAGCCCCGAGCUCAACCUGGGAAUUGCAUUCGAGACUGCAUAGCUAGGGUGCGGAAGAGGGAAGCGGAAUUUCCGGUGUAGCGGUGAAAUGCGUAGAUAUCGGAAGGAACACCAGUGGCGAAAGCGGCUUCCUGGUCCAGCACCGACGUUCAGGCACGAAAGCGUGGGGAGCAAACAGG
rnacentral:rRNA from 1 species